GGCCGCCUGGCGAAAUGGCAUCGCGUCUGACUACGAUUAAAGUUGGUAUCAGGAGAUUGCAGGUUCGACCCCUGCGGUGGUCA
rnacentral:tRNA from 1 species